rnacentral:rRNA from 1 species
GACGAACGCUGGGGGCGUGCUUAACACAUGCAAGUCGAACGGAAAGGCCUGCGUUCCCUUGUGUGGUGCGGGUACUCGCGUGGCGAACGGGUGAGUAACACGUGACUGAUCUGGCCCCAACUCGGGUAUAAGCCAGGGAAACUGGGUCUUAUUCCCGAUAGGUCCGUAGCGUGGUGUCUGAGGUUGCAAACGAUUUUCUAGUGGUUGGGGCUGCGUUCGCUGCCUAUCAGGUUGUUGGUGGGGUAAUGGCCUACCAAGGAGGCGACCGGUAGGCGGCCUGGGAGGGUGGACGGGGAACUUAGAACUGGGAUACGGCCCAAACGGCGACGGGAGGCGGGAGUGGGGGAUAAUGGACAGAGGGCGGAAGGCUGAUGGAGCGACGCGGCGAGAGGGAUGACGGCCUUCGGAUUGUAGACUCCUUUCGAGCGCGAGGGAGCCACCUGGAUGGAAGGGUGGUGACGGUAGUGGUAGAAGAAGCACCGGCUAACUACGUG